GCUUGUGAAGCAUUAUUACCUAAGAAGGUAGAUCAUGAAUUUGGUACAACAGUGUACUGUUCAUAUUACAUUCGCCAAGAGGCCAUCAUAAAUAGAGCCCCCAACUCUUUCUUUUUCCAUUUUCCUUUUCCUCUCCUUCAAUUAUAUUUGCAACUUCGUUUGAAAAAAAAAAUAAUAAAAAAAAACCUUUGCUUUCUCAUCGAGUCGAUCAUGGGUAGUCACAAUGAAAAUGAGAUUUAUGAAAGGUUUAAAAAAUGCUUUAUGGAUCCCAAGGAAAUCACUCAAAAGCUUCUUCGGUUAUUAAUCUCUCAUUAUUGCUAUUAUUAUUAGCUUAUGUUUUCUGAUUUUGGUUUCCUUAAGCUCAUGAGUACAUGUUUUGCAUUUUGAUGAUUUCCUUGUGACCUAUAUUUUCACAUGCUUAUCUGAUUUAAUUUGGGUUUUGAAUUUGCUGGAUGGGAAGGGUAUGCCACUUCAGCAUUAUAUAACUGGUUCACUUAAAAUGUAUUGAAUUUGCAAACGUGUAAAGCAGAGUGCCUCUUUGUCACAACAAAAAUCAUCUGAUCAAAAUUUGCUGAACCUCCUAACAAGUAUUCUUAUUUCUGCAUUUUUAUAGAUGUCUAAUUAGCAUAUAAACUGAUUGUAUUUUCAUCCAUAAUUACAGGCCUUGCGGAUUAUUGACAAUGCAACAGUAUGUAACCGGUUCAGUUGAAACUUGUGUUUAAAAGGAAUGCUUAUCAUUUUGUUAAUCGAGUGUAGGGUUGGGGAUUGGUUGAAACUUAUAUUCAGGGAUAUACUUUAGGAACAUUGCACCUUUUUUGUGCGA
rnacentral:misc_RNA from 1 species